UACGUAGGGUGCGAGCGUUGUCCGGAAUUAUUGGGCGUAAAGAGCUUGUAGGCGGUUUGUCGCGUCUGCUGUGAAAAUCCGGGGCUCAACCCCGGACUUGCAGUGGGUACGGGCAGACUAGAGUGUGGUAGGGGAGACUGGAAUUCCUGGUGUAGCGGUGAAAUGCGCAGAUAUCAGGAGGAACACCGAUGGCGAAGGCAGGUCUCUGGGCCGUAAACUGACG
rnacentral:rRNA from 1 species